ensembl:snRNA U6 U6 spliceosomal RNA
GUGCUCAUUUUGGCAGCAUGUAUACUGAAAACUGGAAUGAUACAGAGCAGAUUAGCAUGGCCCCUGUGCCAGGAUGACAUGCAAAUUUUUAUGAAGCAAUUAAAUUUA